rnacentral:rRNA from 1 species
UACAGAGGUCCCAAGCGUUGUUCGGAUUCAUUGGGCGUAAAGGGUGCGCAGGCGGCGCGGUAAGUCGGGUGUGAAAUCUCGGAGCUUAACUCCGAAACUGCAUUCGAUACUGCCGUGCUUGAGGACUGGAGAGGAGACUGGAAUUUACGGUGUAGCGGUGAAAUGCGUAGAUAUCGUAAGGAAGACCAGUGGCGAAGGCGGGUCUCUGGACAGUUCCUGACGCUGAGGCACGAAGGUCAGGGGAGCAAACGGG